GCCUCUGUGGCGCAAUUGGUCGCGCGCUCGACUUCUAUUGGAUAACUACCUAAGUAGCUAUUUCAUGGUCUAUCGAAAGGUUGCGGGUUCGAGCCCCGCCAGAGGUU
rnacentral:tRNA from 1 species